rnacentral:rRNA from 1 species
GUGUCAGCCGCCGCGGUAAUACAGAGGGUGCGAGCGUUAAUCGGAUUUACUGGGCGUAAAGCGUGCGUAGGCGGCCAAUUAAGUCAAAUGUGAAAUCCCCGAGCUUAACUUGGGAAUUGCAUUCGAUACUGGUUGGCUAGAGUAUGGGAGAGGAUGGUAGAAUUCCAGGUGUAGCGGUGAAAUGCGUAGAGAUCUGGAGGAAUACCGAUGGCGAAGGCAGCCAUCUGGCCUAAUACUGACGCUGAGGUACGAAAGCAUGGGGAGCAAACAGGAUUAGAAACCCUAGUAGUCC